rnacentral:rRNA from 1 species
GACGAACGCUGGCGGCGUGCUUAACACAUGCAAGUCGAACGGUGAAGCGCCUUCCUUUUUGGUGGGUGUGGAUGAGUGGCGAACGGGUGAGUAACACGUGAGUAACCUGCCCCCUUCUUCUGGAUAACCGCAUGAAAGUGUGGCUAAUACGGGAUAUUCUGGGUCUGUCGCAUGAUGGGUCUGGGAAAGAUAUUGUUUCGGUGGGGGAUGGGCUCGCGGCCUAUCAGCUUGUUGGUGGGGUGAUGGCCUACCAAGGCGGUGACGGGUAGCCGGCCUGAGAGGGUGGACGGUCACACUGGGACUGAGACACGGACCAGACUCCUACGGGAGGCAGAAGUGGGGAAUAUUGCACAAUGGGCGCAAGCCUGAUGAAGCGACGCCGCGUGAGGGAGGGAGGCCUUCGGGUUGUGAACCUCUUUAGCCAGUGAAGCAGGCCUGCCUCGUUUGUGGGUGGGUUGACGGUAGCUGGAUAAGAAGCGCCGGCUAACUACGUG